rnacentral:rRNA from 1 species
AGCAGCCGCGGUAAUUCCAGCUCCAAUAGCGUAUAUUAAAGUUGUUGCAGUUAAAAAGCUCGUAGUUGAAUUUCGGGGUUAAUAAGUUGGUCGUACCUAUGGUAUGUACUGGCUUUAUUGAUUCCUACCUCUUGACGAACUGUGAUGCCAUUAAUUUGGUGUUGCAAGGAAUCAGGACUGUUACCUUGAAAAAAUUAGAGUGUUUAAAGCAGGCUUACGCUUGAAUACAUUAGCAUGGAAUAAUGAAAUAGGACGUUUGAACCUAUUUUGUUGGUUUCUAGGAUCGACGUAAUGAUUAAUAGGGAUAGUUGGGGGCAUUAGUAUUCAAUUGUCAGAGGUGAAAUUCUUGGAUUUAUUGAAGACUAACUACUGCGAAAGCAUUUGCCAAGGAUGUUUUCAUUAAUCAAGAACGAAAGUUAGGGGAUCGAAGACGAUCAGAUACCGUCGUAGUCUUAACCAUAAACUAUGCCGACUAGGGAUCGGAUGAUGUUAAUUUUUUAAUGACUCAUUCGGCGCCUUA